rnacentral:rRNA from 1 species
UAGUCCACGCCGUAAACGAUGUGUGCUAGUUGUUGGAUGUUCAGCAUUCAGUGACGCAGAGAAAUCAUUAAGCACACCGCCUGGGGAGUACGGCCGCAAGGCUAAAACUCAAAGGAAUUGACGGGGACCCGCACAAGCGGUGGAGCAUGUUCUUUAAUUCGAAGCAACGCGAAGAACCUUACCCACACUUGACAUCCUUCUUGGGACUUUCAGAGAUGAUCGUCUUCGGUUCGGCCGGGGAAGUGACAGGUGCUGCAUGGCUGUCGUCAGCUCGUGUCGUGAGAUGUUAGGUUAAGUCCUGCAACGAGCGCAACCCUUAUCGUAUGUUGCCAGCAUUUAGUUGGGCACUCAUGCGAGACUGCCGGUGCAAACCGUGAGGGAAGGGUGGGGGACGACGUCAAAUCAUCACGGGCCCUUACGGUCCUGGGG